AUUAUCUCCCAUGUUUGUAAAAAUUUGAUUUACUUUCAUGCAACCAUUUGAUUGAGAAAAAAUGAUUACAGAUUUGCGAGGUGACCAGUUUCCAGACAUUGGUUCGCUCCUGCUUGUGUACGCGAUUGGCCGAGACUAAAAAAACUGUAGUGUGCCACCUUAAGGUUUUAGUCGUUUGCUUGUAAGGCAAGAUUGUCCCUGGAGAAGAACUAAAAUACGUCAACAGCCUUGUAAGCGGAAAGACACUCCGUUGCAGUUACUGAAGAUUUGCGAGGUGACCAGUUUCCAGACAUUGGUUCGCUCCUGCUUGUGUACGCGAUUGGCCGAGACUAAAAAAACUGUAGUGUGCCACUUUUUGUUGUUGUGCGACAUGAUGGAAUACGUAUGGUUUGCGGUAGAUGUCGUAAAGCGAAAGUCGUGAUAGUGAACUACGUACGGUUUGCGAUGAUACCACUAUUUUUAGUUAAAUUAGAUGAAAGCACAUUAAACAGCAUUAAGUUUACCUUGAUGAUCACAGACAGCUUGGACAUUUAUGCUGUGAAAGCCUUUCCGAUUUACAUACGAAGCUUCAUCACCAUGCGGUGCCUGAAUGCCGACGUGUGUACCAUUUAUGCAGCUAAUUAUGUUCGGGAAUCCAGCAAUUGCAUAGAAGCCUUGUUUUACUCUUUCCUUCUCAGCUGGUGAUGGCCACACAACGAACUUGUGCAUUAAGUGCUUGAAUAUGGCGUUGGCUACAUUUUCAACAACUCUGCUUACCAUACAUUCGUGGAAUACAAGAGUGUCUCCAAUGAACGAAUAAAAUGCUCCAGUACCAAAAAAUCUCAAUGUUAUGAGGAUUUGCUGAAUUGAUGUCAGCGCAUGGUUUCUGUUUGUUUGCCGUUGCAAAUCAUCCUUAUGUAGAUUUUCUAAGAAAGAGACUCAAUUCUUCUAAAAACGAUAACGUGCAAUAAAUUCUUCACCAGUUAAUUCAUCAAGAUGAUGUGACAAUCGAAAUUCCAUUGGUUUCCUAAAUGGCAGAGUGGCUGUAGCAGCCAUUUUGAAACCUAGUGUUAAACUAUUUAAUUGUGCUUUAGACCACAAUUAAAGUUAACGGCAGAAACUGCCGUUUAACUGGCUGUUAAAAGUCAGUGUGAUUUUGAGCAACCCAAUCUUAAUGCUUACGCUGAUUUUAAUAAGCCUGUUAUCAUUUAAUGGUCCAUUAAGACUUAACAUUGCUUUGAAUUCGGUAAAUUUUGGAACCAUCAACCACAUGGCCUUGGACUGAAAAUGAUUGUGGAAGGUGACAGGGACGGAAUAGCGACAUUUCGUUUUUUUGUGAUGUGCUUUCAGGGCUUUGCAAGUAAGAUUGUUGCGUUUUUAUGCGCCCGGUAGGGAUGCAUAUAGCAGUCGUACUAUCUGUCAGUCCGUACGGCAUUCUGUUUUUUUCAGUUUUUGUGGACGAAGUUAUGGGCCUGAUUUUGAGGAAUUAUAGUACAGUCCUAUGAAUAUUAGUGGAUCACUACUCGCUAGUGAUUUGUUUAAUGUCAGUGAUUACUGCCUUAAAUAUUUAUAUCUACAUUGUUAAUAGACAUACUGUUAAUUCAUUUGUCUUCAAAAUGUCAUCAAAAUUGGCUUUUUAAUUGCAGGCCUCGACACUAACUUAUUUUUCAACUAGCCCCAUGUAGAACCUACUAGCCCUGACCAAUCUUUCAUGUGCCCUGACCUAAGUAUUAUUAAAACAUUUAUAUUUAUCAUUAAACUUGUAUGUUCUUGUGUGUGGAGAUGCGCAAUUAUGAUUCAAUCAUUCCCAUUACUAAUAACAACAAAUCGUAAGUGAAUCUUAAAUGUCGCAAAAUAAUGUAUUACAGUAGUUGUAAAAUUGUACAGGGAUAACUCCCUUUAAGUUUUAUACUAAAAGCCGGGAUCAACCUUAUAUAUUAGUUUUGCCAAUUGAAUUGGGUAAAAAAGAUUAUCAAAACACUUAAUUGAUAAAAAAAAAUAAAGUUAUUUCAAGUUGAACAUGUGCAAUGCAUUGAAACCUGUGUAACUGUAGCAGCUUAUUUGCAGAACCCGAAACUCUAACAAAGGGCAGGUGAACUGAUGUGAUUGUACAUGUACCUUUGAAAUAACAACCCCUUGUGACCACUGAAAACCUGUGUCACAGCUAAAGUUCGUCUUGAUCUGUCGACCAACAAGUGCAGGACCACCGGCUGCCAUCAUCUUCUGUUGUUAGGGUCAAUGCGUGCUGGACUAGCUUUUUUUACAUUAUAGGUCAAUUUGUCCAAGUUUAGAGGCACUCUUUUUCAAUCAAUUAACUUUGAUAGUUUAAAUACAUCUUUCUGAGUGUCAUCCUUCGGUUUGUGUUUUUAGACCUGGCUUCAAAACAAUAAUUGAGCUUUAAGCCCUUUCAAUUUGUCAUUUUAGGUUUCAUAUGCAGCCAAAUUAUCAUCAACUUGUUUGUCUGAUUGCCAUAGUCCCCAUUCAAUUAUGGAAUUAGUUAAACCUUCUGAUUUCAGAACUCUUUUCUAUUCGUUGCGUUUCUUCAAACCUUUCCCGCAGCAUUUCCUUUUGCUUUUGUUCAAUCUCUGCUCUCCUUUGCUUUAACAGCAAUCUUGUUUUAGUGACUUCACCCCUUGCGAU